UUAAAGGCCCUUUUUAGGGCCAUCACACAUUGAUUAUUUGACUUCGG
rfam:Echinostoma caproni strain Egypt genome assembly, scaffold: ECPE_scaffold0022771